rnacentral:rRNA from 1 species
GCGAACAGCUCAGUAAUACAUAGUUAAUUUGCCCUUAGGUCUUGAAUAAUCCCGAGAAAUUGGGUCUAAUACAAGAUAGGUAAAAAUUCCUGGAACGGUUUUUUACCUAAAGUUUCGGCGCCUAAGGAUAAGACUGUGGCCCAUCAGGUUGUUGCUAAGGUAACGUCUUGGCAAGCCUAUAACGGGUACGAGCCUUGAGAGAGGAAACUCGGAGAUGGAUUCUGAGACAAAAAUCCAGGUCCUACGGGAUGCAGCAAGCGCGAAAAUUCCACAAUGCACGUAAGUGUGAUGGAGGGAUUCAGAGUGAAUCUUUCUUUUUGGAAGGUUCUUUUGUUAAGUUUAAACCGCUUAUCGAAUAAGCGGUGGGUAAGACAGGUGCCAGCCGCCGCGGUAAUACCUGCGCCGCAAGUGGUGACCUCGUUUAUUGGGUUUAAAGUGUUCGUAGCCGGUUUGGUAAGUUUCUAAUGAAAUUCCAUGGACAACUAUGGAUCUUGUUGGAGAUACUACCAAGCUAGAGACCGGGAGAGGCUGAGGGUAUUUCUGGGGUAAGGGUUAAAUCUUGUAAUCCUAGGAGGACCGCCUGUGGCGAAGGCGCUCAGCUAGAACGGAUCUGACGGUGAGGGACGAAAGCUAGGGGAGCAAAGGGGAUUAGAUUUGGACAUGGAAAACAAAUGUUAUUUUUAUAUUUCCCUGUCCACUAAAAACCCCCGUAGUCCUAGCCGUAAACGAUAUCCACUAGAUGUUGGAUGUCUUACGAGGGCAUCCAGUUUCGUAGGGAAACCGUUAAGUGGAUCGCCUGGGGAGUAUGGUCGCAAGGCUGAAAUAGAAGAAAUCGUCAUAAUUAUCUAUUAACAGCGACCAUCUUAAACCAACUGGAGAAGAACCUUAAAUCGAAUUUGAAAAUAAUAGAUUUCUUCUACAGCAAACUUAAGGGAAUUGGCGGGGGAGCACACAAGGGGUGGAGGCUGCGGUUUAAUUCGAUUCAACGCGAGGAACCUCACCAGAAGCGACAGCAGAAUGAAGGUCAGGCUGAUGGUCUUACCAGACACGCUGAGCGGAGCUGCAUGGCCGUCGUCAGUUCGUGUCGUGAGAUGUCGACUUAAGUGUCGUAACGAACGAGACCCGUACCCUACGUUACUAGUGUCACAUCCGUGGCAUGUACUCAUAGGGGACCGCUUGCGAAAAGUAAGAGGAAGGAACGGUCAACGGCAGGUCAGUAUGGUCUUAAUCUUCUGGGUUACACGCGGCCUACAAUGGUCGGGACAAUGAGAUGCCACUCCGAAAGGAAGAGCUAAUCUCCAAACCCGAUCUUAGUUCGGAUUGAGGGCUGCAACCCGCCCUCAUGAAGCCGAAAUCCCUAGUAAUCGCUUGUCACCAUCCAGCGGUGAAUAUGUUCCUGCUCCUUGCACACACUGCCCGUCAAGCCAACUGAGUGGGGUUUUG